rnacentral:rRNA from 1 species
ACGAACGCUGGCGGCGUGCCUAAUACAUGCAAGUUGAGCGCUGAAGGUUGGUACUUGUACCAACUGGAUGAGCAGCGAACGGGUGAGUAACGCGUGGGGAAUCUGCCUUUGAGCGGGGGACAACAUUUGGAAACGAAUGCUAAUACCGCAUAAAAACUUUAAACACAAGUUUUAAGUUUGAAAGAUGCAAUUGCAUCACUCAAAGAUGAUCCCGCGUUGUAUUAGCUAGUUGGUGAGGUAAAGGCUCACCAAGGCGAUGAUACAUAGCCGACCUGAGAGGGUGAUCGGCCACAUUGGGACUGAGACACGGCCCAAACUCCUACGGGAGGCAGCAGUAGGGAAUCUUCGGCAAUGGACGAAAGUCUGACCGAGCAACGCCGCGGGAGUGAAGAAGGUUUUCGGAUCGUAAAACUCUGUUGGUAGAGAAGAACGUUGGUGAGAGUGGAAAGCUCAUCAAGUGACGGUAACUACACAGAAAGGGACGGCUAACUACGUG